GAUUUUGCAGGAUGAGCUUCGUCUCGGCAUCGGCCCAGUGAAGGUCCUCGACCAGGAUCACCGAGGGAUUUGACUGAGCGUAGUGGAAAACCAGCGAUCUGACGGCUUCCAUGGUUUUAAGCCGCCGCUCGGAUGGUUCCAGUUUUUUCCACUCCUGGUCGUCGGUGUUGAGAUCCAGCAGCGAGAGAAUCGGCGGCAAGAAGACC
rnacentral:misc_RNA from 1 species